CCCCUGACGGCGUGCCUUUUGCAUAAUGAGCCGGCGAGUUACUUGUAUGCAGCGAGGUUAACUCACUCAGUGAGGUAGCCGUAGCGAAAGCGAGUCUGAAUAGGGCGUCUCAGUUGCAUGCAGUAGACCCGAAGCCAGGUGAUCUACCCAUGGCCAGGAUGAAGCGGGAGUAAAAUCUCGUGGAGGUCCGAACCGCCGAACGUUGAAAAGUUCUCGGAUGAGCUGUGGGUAGGGGUGAAAGGCCAAUCAAACCUGGAGAUAGCUGGUUCUCCCCGAAAUAGCUUUAGGGCUAGCCUCUUGUUAAAGAGUCGUGGAGGUAGAGCACUGGAUCGGCUAGGGGGCUUACCCGCUUACCAAACCGAACCAAACUCCGAAUGCCAUUGACUUGUUCCAAGGGAGUCAGCGUGCGAGGGAUAAACUCCGUACGCGAGAGGGAAACAACCCAGAUCGUCAGCUAAGGUCCCAAAGUGUAAGCUAAGUGAUUAAAAGGAUGUGAAAUUGCUGAGACAGCUAGGAUGUUGGCUUAGAAACAGCCACCAUUUAAAGAGUACGUAAUAGUUCACUAGUCAAGUGAUUUUGCGCCGACAAUGUAUCGGGGCUAAGUUUACCACCGAAGCUACGGACUCAGCGUUUCGUUCGCGAGACGCUGAUUGGUAGGGGAGCGUUCCAUAGUAGGCUGAAGGUAAACCGUAAGGUUUUCUGGACGAGAUGGAAGUGAUUAUGUCGGCAUGAGUAGCGAUAAUGCAGGUGAGAAUCCUGCACACCGAAAAUCUAAGGUUUCCUGGGCUAGGCUCGUCCUCCUGGGGUUAGUCGGGACCUAAGCUGAGGCCGAAAGGCGUAAGCGAUGGAAAACAGGCUAAAUAUUCCUGUACCACUUACAGCGCGUUUGAGCUAUGGGGUGACGCAGAAGUGAAAGGUCAGCCAGCGACUGGAAAUGCUGGUCUAAGCCAGUAGGAGGACUGUCUAGGCAAAUCCGGACAGUCACUACUCCGAGAGGCGAUGGGGAGCCGCUUAGCGGCAUAAACUGACCCUAAUCAUGCUGCCUAGAAAAACCUCUAUGUGAGUUCUGUAGGUGCCCGUACCGUAAACCAACACAGGUAGAUGAGGAGAGUAUCCAAAGGUGCGCGAGAAAACCCUCGUUAAGGAAUUCGGCAAAAUGAUCCCGUAACUUCGGAAGAUGGGAUGCCCUCAGUAGGUGAAGCUCUUCGCGAGUGAAGCCCAAAGGGGUCGCAGAGAAACGGGCUGGGCGACUGUUUACCAAAAACACAGGUCUCUGCUAAGCCGCAAGGCAAUGUAUAGGGACUGACACGUGCCCGGUGCUGGUAAGUUAAGAGGAUGAGUUAGUCUUCGGACGAAGCUUUGAAUCGAAGCUCCGGUAAACGGCGGCCGUAACUAUAACGGUCCUAAGGUAGCGAAAUUCCUCGUCGGCUAAAAACCGACCUGCACGAAUCGUGUAACGACUUGGCCGCUGUCUCAACGAGGGACUCGGUGAAAUUGUAGUUCCGGUGAAGAUGCCGGAUACCCGCGGCAGGACAGAAAGACCCCGUGAACCUUUACUAUAGCUUGGUAUUGGAUUUUGACACUGUACGUGUAGGAUAGGUGGGAGGCUAUGAAGCGGGAGCGCCAGUUCUCGUGGAGCCGUCCUUGAAAUACCACCCUUGCUUUGUUAAAAUUCUAACCUUGGUCCCUUGAUCGGGAUCGGAGACAGUGCCAGGUGGGUAGUUUAACUGGGGCGGUUGCCUCCUAAAAAGUAACGGAGGCGCCCAAUGGUUCCCUCAGCGCGGUCGGUAAUCGCGCGUAGAGUGUAAAGGCAUACAGGGAGCUUGACUGCGAGACUUACAAGUCGAGCAGGUGCGAAAGCAGGGCUUAGUGAUCCGACGGUUGCAUGUGGAAGCGCCGAAGCUCAACGGAUAAAAGGUACUCCGGGGAUAACAGGCUUAUUGCCCCCAAGCGCUCAUAGCGACGGGGCAGUUUGGCACCUCGAUGUCGGCUCAGCACAUCCUGGGGCUGGAGAAGGUCCCAAGGGUUUGGCUGUUCGCCAAUUAAAGCGCUACGCGAGCUGGGUUCAGAACGUCGUGAGACAGUUCGGUCCCUAUCCGCCGUGGGUGUAGGAUAUUUGAGGAGAUCUGACCCUAGUACGAGAGGACCGGGUUGGACGGACCUCUGGUCUACCAGUUGUUCCGCCAGGAGCAUCGCUGGGUAGCUACGUUCGGCAGGGAUAAACGCUGAAAGCAUCUAAGCGUCAAGCCCACUCCAAGACUAGAUAUCCCGUAGGGUUAACCUACCUAAAGGCCCCUCGUAGACUACGAGGUUGAUAGGCUGCAGGUGGAAGCGCGGCAACGCGUGAAGCCGAGCAGUACUAAUUGGCCGUGAGGCUUGACC
rnacentral:rRNA from 1 species